rnacentral:rRNA from 1 species
CCAGCUGUAAACGAUGCAGACUAGGUGUUUGGACGGCCACGUGCCGUUCUAGUGCCGCAGGGAAGCUGUUAAGUCUGCCGCCUGGGGAGUACGAUCGCAAGAUUGAAACUUAAAGGAAUUGGCGGGGGAGCACCACAAGGGGUGAAGCUUGCGGUUUAAUUGGAGUCAACGCCGGAAAUCUCACCGGGAGCGACAGCAGUAUGAAAGCCAGAUUGAAGGUCUUGCUAGACGAGCUGAGAGGAGG